UGUGUCAAUGAUGUUAUUCAAAACAUUAUUUUGAGUUUUAAAUGACUAUGAGAUAACUUUACAUGCACUACCAUCUGAGACGCA